GGGGCCGCUCUCGGCGCCCUCUAGCGGUGACGCCGCCGCCGGCGGGGAGGGCGUCGGAGGGCUCCCCGGCCGCGGGCUGGCGUCCGGCACAGCAGCGUCUCUCCCCUGGCGCAGGUGGCCGCUGGCUGUGAACAUCAAAAUGCCUCCCGGGAAGGGCAGCGCUUCAAGGGCCGUCUUACUCCGGGCUGCCCCGGCAGAGGCCCAGAAAAAACACACAGUCACGCAGUGAAAUACUGUGCUGUUGUCCCUGCACAUUCUGAUCUGGAAGACAAUAUCAGCAAGGAAAAAAAGGAGGACGCAGAUCAUUAAUGAAGAUGUGAAGUGAGACACCAGUCCUCACGGCCCCCACCACGUGCCCCUCCCAUGCCCGGCGCUGCUGGAGUCAUUAUCCUUCCUGGUGUGACAGGGUCCUUUGGCCCUGAUGCUUUUUCUCUUAUGAAUCGAUUCUCAUCUUGCAGGAAAACUGUGCACACACACGUGUCUCCCAAUGAAGGAAUUUAUGACUACAUUCAAUUCUCAGGAUCACAGCAAAUACACGAUAAUUACAAUACAAGUCUCAUCAAAGAGUCCCUUAUGGAAGCAUCGGGGUAGCUCAACACAGAGAAAGCAGGAGGCAAAGAUGAAAACAUGAUAACCCAGUUCUGCUCGGAGCCCAAGUGUGACCGAAAUUCUGACCGCCAUUCUCCCCUGCAUUCCUUUGUCCCUGCUAUGCCCAA